CCUACGGGAGGCAGCAGUAGGGAAUUUUCGUCAAUGGGCGCAAGCCUGAACGAGCAAUGCCGCGUGAACGAGGAAGGUCUUCGGAUCGUAAAGUUCUGUUGAAGGGGAAAAAGAGCGGAGAGAGGAAAUGCUUUCUGAUUGAUAUUACCCUUCGAGGAAGUCACGGCUAACUACGUGCCAGCAGCCGCGGUAAUACGGAGGUGGCGAGCGUUAUCCGGAAUGAUUUGGCGUAAAGGGUGCGUAGGCGGCAUGCGAAGUCGGGGGUGAAAGGUACCGGCCCAACCGGGACAGGCCCUGGAAACUGGCGAGCUAGAGAGCAGGAGAGGGCGGUAGAACUCCAGGUGUAGCGGUAAAAUGCGUAGAUAUAUGGAAGAACACCAGUGGCGAAGGCGGCCGCCUGGCC
rnacentral:rRNA from 1 species